UACGUAGGUGGCAAGCGUUGUCCGGAUUUACUGGGCGUAAAGAGCGCGCAGGCGGUCGUUCAAGUCGCGUGUGAAAGCCCCUGGCUCAACUGGGGAGGGUCACGCGAUACUGUUCGACUCGAAGGCAGGAGAGGGAAGUGGGAAUUCCCGGUGUAGUGGUGAAAUGCGUAGGAUAUCAGGAGGAACACCUGUGGCGAAAGCGGCUCACUGGAC
rnacentral:rRNA from 1 species